rnacentral:rRNA from 1 species
GAUGAACGCUGGCGGCGUGCUUAACACAUGCAAGUCGAACGAAGCAAUCUAACGGAAGUUUUCGGAUGGAAGUUAAAUUGACUGAGUGGCGGACGGGUGAGUAACGCGUGGGUAACCUGCCUCACACUGGGGGACAACAGUUAGAAAUGACUGCUAAUACCGCAUAAGCGCACAGGACCGCAUGGUCCGGUGUGAAAAACUCCGGUGGUGUGAGAUGGACCCGCGUUUGAUUAGCUAGUUGGUGGGGUAACGGCCUACCAAGGCGACGAUCAAUAGCCGACCUGAGAGGGUGACCGGCCACAUUGGGACUGAGACACGGCCCAAACUCCUACGGGAGGCAGCAGUGGGGAAUAUUGCACAAUGGGGGAAACCCUGAUGCAGCGACGCCGCGUGAGUGAAGAAGUAUUUCGGUAUGUAAAGCUCUAUCAGCAGGGAAGAAAAUGACGGUACCUGACUAAGAAGCCUCGGCUAACUACGUGCCAGCCGCCGCCGUAA